rnacentral:lncRNA from 1 species
GGUAGUUGUGUUCCAUAAAAAUAGGAUCCAUUAUCUGCUUUUUCUUUUUCUUUUAAUUUUUUUAAAUAUGAAAAAGUGUGAAUUUAUCAUAUUAUCCUCAUUUAAUUAAUAAUUUGAAUUCUUAAUGUUUGCAUUAACCAAGGGCAUUUUCUGGUAUUUUGAAUGUUUCACAAUUCUCUGCCUUUUGCUUUAUAUAUAUAGAUAUAUAUUUUGGGUCGGGUUCGGGGAUGGGGACGCCAAUACCAUUCUCUUCCCAUACUCGUCAAAGAUUUUUCAAGUUCAGGGAUCCCCAUACCCGAUACUUGUUUGACCCUAAAAUCUCCUACCGUUAGGGUCAGGGAACCAAAGAGGACCCGCCUCUGCUGAGAUUUUUGUCAUCCCUGUACGUGGGUGCCUAGGACCUAUCCGGCUGCUUUGUUUUUGUUUUUAUUUUGUUUUUAAAAAUUUAUAGUAAAGAGUAUAUCUGUGUGGCUAUAAUUGAUUUUUUAAAUAUUUUUUUUAAAAAUAAUAUAGCCGGACGACUUUA